rnacentral:rRNA from 1 species
UACGUAGGGUGCAAGCGUUAAUCGGAAUUACUGGGCGUAAAGCGUGCGCAGGCGGCUUUGCAAGACAGAUGUGAAAUCCCCGGGCUUAACCUGGGAACUGCAUUUGUGACUGCAUGGCUGGAGUGCGGCAGAGGGGGGUGGAAUUCCGCGUGUAGCAGUGAAAUGCGUAGAUAUGCGGAGGAACACCGAUGGCGAAGGCAAUCCCCUGGGCCUGCACUGACGCUCAUGCACGAAAGCGUGGGGAGCAAACAGG